rnacentral:rRNA from 1 species
UACAGAGGGUGCAAGCGUUGUUCGGAAUUAUUGGGCGUAAAGGGCGCGUAGGCGGUGCGGUAAGUCUGUAGUGAAAUCUCUGGGCUCAACUCAGAGUCUGCUGCAGAAACUGCCGUGCUUGAGUGUGGGAGAGGUGAGUGGAAUUCCCGGUGUAGCGGUGAAAUGCGUAGAUAUCGGGGAGGAACACCUGUGGCGAAAAGCGGCUCACUGGACCACGCUGACGCUGAGACGCGAAAGCGUGGGGAGCGAACAGG